AAAUAUAUGAGUUUGAUCCUGGCUCAGGAUGAACGCUAAUAGUAUGCAUGACACAUGCAAGUUUAACAUUAAUUUAGAUGUAGCAAACGGGUGAGGAAUUUAUAAAGCUAUUUUACCUUUUAGUCUUGGAAAAAAACUUUUAAAUUUAUAGUAAGAUUUAUCCGGCGUUCCACUCAUGCAUAUAUUUGUGUAAUGGUUACCACAAUAUAAUUCGUCGAGUACAGUAGCUAUAGCUACGUUUAGAGUGUUACUCUUUGUGUGGUUAUUAGAACCUGGUGCAUAGAUUGCACUGGAUGUUUAAGUACAUCGAGGCGGCCUACCAAUUCUAGGAUUUUAUAAUCCUUAAAAAGAUGUAUAAAAACUAGAAUUUAUCUAAUAUGUCUUUGAUAAAUAGCAAAAUAAAAUACAAGAUAAAAAAAUUUACAACAAAAUUUCGAAAAAAUACAUAAUUAAAAAGAGUAUUUUGAAAGACAUAAUACUACAAUAUAGUAUAGUAAAUUUAAAAAGAUAAUAAAAAAUAGAUAAUAAUAUAAAAUUCGCUAAAAGAUAACUUUAUAAAAAAUUAGGUAGUUGGUAACGGCUAAAAGCUUACCAAGCCUUUGAUUUUUAGUUGAUCUGAGAGGAUGAUCAACCACACUGGAACUGAAAAAGGUCCAGGCCACUGAGGCCAGCAGUGCGGAAUAUUGGACAAUGAACGAAAGUUUGAUCCAGCAAUACUAUAUGAACGAUGACAGCUGAUUAUUAGAGUUAGAUAGCCGACAAUAUAACCCUAUUUAGCUCUGGUUGUAAAAAUUCUUUCAUUAAAGAUGAUAAUGCCAUUAUUUAAAGAAGAUUUAGUCCCGGCUAAUCUCGUGCCAGCAGCCGCGGUAAUACGGGAGGGGCAAGCGUUAUCCAAAAUGACUGGGCGUAAAGAGUCCGUAGACUGUAAAAUAAGUUAUUUGUUAAAUUCUAAGAUUAACCUUAAAAAGGCAUUUAAAACUGUUUUACUUUUGAGUUUUAUACAGAAGAGUUGAAUUUCAUGUUGAGGAUUAAUCUCUAAAGAAAUAUGAAGGAAUACCAUUAAUAGCGAAGGCGACUCUUUAGUAAAAACUGACGUUGAGGGACGAAAGUAUAGGGAGCAAACAGGAUUAGAUACCCUGGUAGUCUAUACCUUAAAUUCUGAAUGCUGUAAUUCUAAAAUUAAAAUUUUUGGAUUUUUUAAGUUAACACCAUAAGCAUUCCGCCUGAGGAGUACGAUCGCAAGGUUGGAACUCAAAGGAAUUGACGGGGACCUACAACAAGUGGUGGAGCAUGUGGUUUAAUGCGAUAAUCCGCGCAAAACCUUACCAAUCCUUGACAUAAAGAAAAAACAGCUAUUUAGCUUUUUUGUAAUAUUUCAAUAGCCUAUAAUUGUUAUACCAAAUUUAAAAUUUUUUUACAGGUGUUGCACGACUGUCGUCAGCUCGUGUCGUAAGAUGUUUGGUUAAUUCCUUUAACGAGCGAAACUCUUAUUUUUAGCUAAACGAUAUAUAAAUCUAUAGAUUUAUAUAUUACAUGAUUGCUACAAAUUUUUAAAAUAAAUUUUUAAAAAAACAGUCAAUGAUAAGUUGAAGGAAGGUAAGAAUCAAGUCAAGUCCCUGUGGCCCUUAUGGAUUGGGCUACACACGUGCUACAAUGAAAAUCCCAAUAAGUUUACUUCGAAUUUAAUAACCUAGUAAAUCCUUAAUAAUUUUUUUGGUACGGAUUGUAAGCUGCAACUCGUUUACAUGAAGAUGGAAUCACUAGUAAUCGCAAAUCAGAAUGUUGCGGUGAAUACGUGCCUUGGUCUUGUACACACCGCCCGUCACAUGCAGAAAAUUGAUUUUGCUUGAAGAUCAAACUUUAUAUUUAAAACACCUAAAAACCUAUAGGUUAGUUUACAAAUAUACAAGUUUAUCCAUUGAAAAGUUAAUAAUUUGGAUGAAGUCGUAACAAGGUAGCUGUAUAGGAAUAUGUAGCUGGAAAAUAUAAGUU
rnacentral:rRNA from 1 species